rnacentral:rRNA from 1 species
UACGUAGGGUGCGAGCGUUAAUCGGAAUUACUGGGCGUAAAGCGUGCGCAGGCGGCGUGUUAAGACAGGUGUGAAAGCCCCGAGCUUAACUUGGGAAUUGCGCUUGUGACUGGCGUGCUGGAGUGUGGCAGAGGGAGGUGGAAUUCCACGUGUAGCAGUGAAAUGCGUAGAGAUGUGGAGGAACACCGAUGGCGAAGGCAGCCUCCUGGGCCAGCACUGACGCUCAUGCACGAAAGCGUGGGGAGCAAACAGG